GACGAACGCUGGCGGCGUGCCUAAUACAUGCAAGUGGGACGCAAGGAAACACACUGUGCUUGCACACCGUGUUUUCUUGAGUCGCGAACGGGUGAGUAACGCGUAGGUAACCUGCCUAUUAGCGGGGGAUAACUAUUGGAAACGAUAGCUAAUACCGCAUAAUAUUAAUUAUUGCAUGAUAAUUGAUUGAAAGAUGCAAGCGCAUCACUAGUAGAUGGACCUGCGUUGUAUUAGCUAGUUGGUAAGGUAAGAGCUUACCAAGGCGACGAUACAUAGCCGACCUGAGAGGGUGAUCGGCCACACUGGGACUGGGACACGGCCCAGACUCCCACGGGAGGCAGCAGUAGGGAAUCUUCGGCAAUGGACGAAAGUCUGACCGAGCACCGCCGCGUGAGGGAAGAAGGUUUUCGGAUCGGAAAGCUCGGUUGUAAGGCAAGAACGUGUGUGAGAGUGGAAAGUUCACACAGUGACGGUAGCUUACCAGAAAGGGACGGCUAACUACGCG
rnacentral:rRNA from 1 species